GAUGAACGCUGGCGGCGUGCCUAACACAUGCAAGUCGAGCGAUUCUCUUCGGAGAAGAGCGGCGGACGGGUGAGUAACGCGUGGGUAACCUGCCCUGUACACACGGAUAACAUACCGAAAGGUAUGCUAAUACGGGAUAAUGUAAGAGAGUCGCAUGGCUUUCUUAUCAAAGCUCCGGCGGUACAGGAUGGACCCGCGUCUGAUUAGCUAGUUGGUGAGGUAAUGGCGCACCAAGGCGACGAUCAGUAGCCGACCUGAGAGGGUGAUAGGCCACAUUGGCAGUGGGACACGAUCCAAACGCCGACGGGAGGCAGCAGUGGGGAAUAUUGCACAAUGGGCGAAAGCCUGAUGCAGCAACGCCGCGUGAGCGAUGAAGGCCUUCGGGUCGUAAAGCUCUGUCCUCAAGGAAGAUAAUGACGGUACUUGAGGAGGAAGCCCCGGCUAACUACGUGCCAGCCGCCGCUGUAA
rnacentral:rRNA from 1 species